rnacentral:rRNA from 1 species
AUCCGGAUUUAUUGGGUUUAAAGGGUCUGUAGGCGGAUCUGUAAGUCAGUGGUGAAAUCUCACAGCUUAACUGUGAAUCUGCCAUUGAUACUGCAGGUCUUGAGUGUUAUUGAAGUAGCUGGAAUAAGUAGUGUAGCGGUGAAAUGCAUAGAUAUUACUUAGAGCACCACUCGCGAAGGCAGGUUACUAAGCAACAACUGACGCUGAUGGACGAAAGCGUGGGGAGCGAACAGGAUUAGAUACCCUGGUAGUCCACGCCGUAAACGAUGCUAACUCGUUUUUGGGCUUUUGGGCUCAGAGACUAAGCGAAAGUGAUAAGUUAGCCACCUGGGGAGUACGUUCGCAAGAAUGAAACUCAAAGGAAUUGACGGGGGCCCGCACAAGCGGUGGAUUAUGUGGUUUAAUUCGAUGAUACGCGAGGAACCUUACCAAGGCUUAAAUGGGAAAUGACAGGUUUAGAAAUAGACUUUUCUUCGGACAUUUUUCAAGGUGCUGCAUGGUUGUCGUCAGCUCGUGCCGUGAGGUGUUAGGUUAAGUCCUGCAACGAGCGCAACCCCUGUCACUAGUUGCCAUCAUUAAGUUGGGGACUCUAGUGAGACUGCCUACGCAAGUAGAGAGGAAGGUGGGGAUGACGUCAAAUCAUCACGGCCCUUACGCCUUGGGCCACACACGUAAUACAAUGGCCAGUACAGAGGGCAGCUACACAGCGAUGUGAUGCAAAUCUCGAAAGCUGGUCUCAGUUCGGAUUGGAGUCUGCAACUCGACUCUAUGAAGCUGGAAUCGAUAGUAAUCGCGCAUCAGCCAUGGCGCGGUGAAUACGUUCCCGGGC